UAUCCCCCAUUCCUCUAAAAUGCCCCACUGAUAUCCCCAUUCCUCUAAGAUUCCCCACUAAUAUCCCCCAUUCCUCUAACAUUCCCCGCUGAUAUCCCCCAUUCCUCUAAAAUUCCCCACUGAUAUCCCCCAUUCCUCUAACAUUCCCCACUGAUAUCCCCCAUUCCUCUAACAUUCCCCACUGAUAUCCCCCAUUCCUCUAACAUUCCCUACUGAUAUCCCCCAUUCCUCUAAAAUUCCCCGCUGAUAUCCCUCAUCCCCCUAAAAUUCCCCACUGAUAUCCCCCAGUCCUCUAAAAUUCCCCACUGAUAUCCCCCAGUCCUCUAAAAUUCCCCACUGAUAUCCCCCAGUCCUCU